GGAAGAGGACACCCAAUCAAGCAAAAUCACCUACUUCUAUUUUUUGCAAUAGGUAAUUACACCAAUAACAAAUAUGCGAGUAAGUUAAAGGUCAACGUUUUAACAAAUGUUGCUGAACUUAGAAAUUCACCAGAUUUCAGAAAUCAUGGUUCUAAUGGAAUAUGAUUUUCCUAAACAGGACAAUGUUUAGUGCUUUCUGUUUUAAAAAGUUUUGUUCUCCGGAUGCUUCAUAGUGUUUAUGCAUUAUAAUAGCCCCAUAAAGAUCAGUAACAGUAUGUAUACCAGCUUGAUUAAUGAUUUUUUAGCACCCACUAUCUUUUCUUCAUAGCAAUAUCAUAACGUAAUUAAACAUGUAUUUGUGUGAUUUUAGCAGAGCAUCCCCAACUCUGCUGUAAGCUGAGAGCAGGAACCAUGUCUGUCUGCUUACCCGUGUGUGUCCAGAGCCAGCACGUGCUGGCACUUAGUGGCUGCUUGAAAAUUUGUUGAAUAUUUGAAUGAACCUAGGAAGUGAGGAAGAAUCUGGAGGGGAAGGUAAUGACUUCAGUUUUGGAAGGAUUGAGUUUAAGAUAUCUAUGCUUCAUUGCAGUGGAGAUGAUUUCAAGGCCAGUUUCCCAUCUCACUGUUCCUUUGCCUGGCAUAUUCAAUCCACAGUUUCAAAAGCAGGAGUCAUCUGGCACCUUCCAGAUUAAUGAGACAUCAUUUAUACCUACCUUAUUUGCUUGGGAUGGAGGAGAUGGACACAGUAAUGAUGUGGUUGAAGCGGUCUUUACUGUGGCGAUAUAUGACACACUCUCCUCUCCCCUCUUAGGCAUAUAUCUCCUCUCCACAACUUUAAAUGUGACUUGCUUUUCCCCAAUCCCUGGAAUAACUGUCCCAUUUACCACAGCCUAAAAAUAGACCAGAAUCUGAUCACAAGCCAGCCCAAUUCUAGGACUUUGCUAGAAACUUCCUUAACUGUUCAGUGACCAACCAGGACAGAAAUGUAGGACCACUCAGUCUGUUUAUUUCCUACUGCUAGUCUGGGCAGCCUUUUGUAAGGAGAAUGCAUAAAAUCUCUCUCCCUGUUUUCCCAUAAUUGGGGUUGCCAGAUAAAAUGCAGGAUGCCCAGUUCAAUAUGAAUUCAGAUAAACAAUGAAUAUUUUCUUAGCAUAUGUUUUUCCUAUGCAAUUUUUAGGAUACACUCAUACUAAAUUAUUCAUUGUUUAUCUGAAAUUCAAAUAGAAUUGGAGCAUCCUGUAUCUUUUGUUAAAUCUGGCAGUUCUACCUAUAAUACAGCCCAGCUUCAAAAGAUCAAGCCCCACGAUAUCUAUUUGCUUUUAUUAAGAAUUUAACAUAGUCUCUUGUGUCAUUUAUUGCAAACUAAUAAUAUCAUACGUAACUAUAUAACACUUAAUCAACUUCGGUGACCAUAUGAGCUUGGCCUUUCUGAUAUAGGCAUUCAUUGUGAAAAGUCCAGUGUACUUAGCUCAAAAAUAGCAAAUGAAAUUGGACUCUUGAAUAAUCUAACCACUGCAUAGAAUGCGCAGAGAAAAAGGAAGAAGAGUGAAAAAUUCUUAUUUUUCUUACCUAGGCUCAGAAACGCCUGUGUAUUGACACUGUUUUGAAUUUCAUUCUAGAAAAAUGCUGUUUUGAAAAUUCAUUCUGAAAAAAUCUAGAUAUGGGAAUUACUUAACAUGGGAACCCUUACUCUUUGCUCCACUAUGGGUUGAAUAUUGAUCAAACAUAGAGUUCCCAGAAAUUCAUUUGUUCUUUGAUUUCUAUUUUGUUUGGUCCUGAUUAUCACUGAAGAAGGAGUAAAGAAUCUUUAAAAACUGACUAGAUACUAAGGAAAUGCUCAAACAUUAGAAAUUGUUUAGGGGUAAUCUGGAUGGCUCAAUGAGUGGAGCAUACAACUCUUGAUCUUGGGGUUAAGUUCAAGCCCCACAUUGGGUGUAGAGAUUAUGUAAAAAAUUUAAAAAAGGAAAUUGUUAAAAAAAACAACUAAGAAAAUACUAAGACCCUUCUCACACAUUUACUAAAUUUUAGCAUAUUAAGAGCUACAUAUGGAAUCUACCACCCUCAGAAAUGUUUCACUUAAAACAUUUUUAAUUCUAGGGGCAUCAGGGUGGCUCAGCUGGUUAAGCGUCCAACUCUUGAUUUUGGCUCAGGUCAUGAUCUCAUGAUUCCUGAGAUCAAGCCCAGGGCCGGGCUCUGCACUGAGAGUGGAGCCUGCUUGGUAUUCUCUCUCACUCUCUCUUGCUCUCUCUCUCUCCUUCAGCUCCCCCCCCCACCCCUGGCCAUUCACACGCAUGUACAUGCAUGCUCUCUCUAAAUAAGUAACCAUUUAAAAAACAUUUUCAACUCUAAAGUAAGAUAAACUGCUACUCAUAGAUAAGAGAUAUUAACUCAGACAAAGAUCAACGUCUUAACUAUACAUAUAAUUUGACUUUCAAAUUUUAAAGGAUGUUAUUUAUUGGUCAUUUCAAAUAGACAGCAGUCAAUUUUCAUUUUGAAAAAAAAAUCUAUUUAAAUCAAAUUCCUCCAACAAGAUAUAUAGAAUCAGAGAAUAUUGUUUUAUAGUUUUUGUUCUUACAUUUAAGUCUAUGAUCCAUUUUAAGUUCAUUUUUGUUCAUACAGUGUGAGGUCAGGGUCUACGUUUGUUCUUUUGCAUGCGAACAUCCAGUUGUCCUACCACCAUUUUUCUAAAAAGACUGUUCUUUCCUCAUCAAAUUGCUAGUGUACAGAAAUGCAAGGGGUGCCUGGGUGGCUCAGUCGGUUAAGCGUCUGACUUCGGUUCAGGUCAUGAUCUCAUGGUUUGUGAGCCUGAGCCCCAGGUGGGGCUCUGUGCUGACAGCCCAGAGCCUAGAGCCUGUUUUGGAUUGUGUGUCUCAUUCUCUCUUUGCCCCUCCCCCAAGUGUGCUGUCUCUCUCUCUCUCUCUUUCUCUCUCUCUCUCUCAAAAAUAAAUAAAAAUGUAAAAAAAAAUUAGAAAUGCAAUAGGUUUUUAUAUAUUGACCUUGUAUCAUUCAAACCUGCUUAACCAAUUUAUUAGCUCUAAAGUUUUGUGUAUGUUUCUCAAAUUUUUUAUAUACAAGAUCAUCUUAUAGACUCCUAGAAAUCCAGAUGCCAUUUAUUUCUUUUUCUUACCCAACUGACUUGGCCAGAACCUCUAUACAAUGUUGAAUAGAAGUAGUAAUAACGGACAUCUUGUCUUACUCCUGAUAUUAGGGUGAAAGAUUUCAUCUUUAAGUCACCCCCAAAUACUAUGUUAGCUGUAGGUGUCACGUGAUUCCCUUAUCAGGUUGCAGGAGUUCCUUUUUAUUCCAAAUUGUAGAAUGUUUUUUUUUUAUCAUGAAAGGGUGUUAGAUUUUGUCAAAUGCUUUUUCUUUGUUCAUUGAGAUGAUCAUAUGGUUUUGUCCUUUGCUACAUUAUGUUGAUUGAUUUUGUUAAACCAAUCUUCCAUUCCCUAUUUGGUCAUCAUAUUUAAUCCUUUAUAUUCAUUGCUGGAUUCACCUUGCUAGUAUUUUUUUUUUUUUUUAAGAUAAAGGGUGUGUGUGCUAGCAAGCUGGGGGAAGGGGAGAGGGAGUAGGAGAGAGAGAAUCUUUUUUUUUUUAAUGUUUUUAAUGUUUUUAUUUAUUUUUGAGAGAGAGAGUGCAGGAGCAGGGGAGGGGCAGAAAGAGAGGGAGACAUAGAAUCUGAAGCAGGCUCCAGGCUCUGAGCUGUCAGCACAGAGCCUGACGUGGGGCUCGAACUCACAAGCCAUGGGAUCAUGACCUGAGCCGGAGUCAGCUGAGCCACCCAGGCACCCCAAAAGAAUCUUAAGCUGGUUCCAGGCCCAGCUCAGAGCCCUUAGUAGCCACAGUGAUAGCAGCGGGCUUGAUCUCACGACUGUGACAUCAUGACCUGAGCCAAAAUCAAAAGUCGAACACUUAACCUACAAAGCCACCCAGGCGACCCUGGUCUUUGGUUUUCUUAGGAUAUCUUUGUCUGGUUUGGGAUCAGGGCCUCAUAAAAGGAGCCAGGAAGUCCAUUCUCUUAUUUGUGGGAAGAGUCUGUGAAGGAUUAGCCUUAAUCUUUUUGAAACAUUUGGUAGUGGUGCACCUGGCCGGCUUAGUCAGUAGAGCAUGGGACUCUUGCUCUCAGGGUCAUGAGUUUAAGCCCACGUUGAGGGGUAGAGUUUACUUUAAAAAAAAAAAAAAGAAGAUAAAGCUUUUUUUUUUUUUUUUAAAUAAACUUUUGGUAGAAUUUACUAGGGACAUCACCUCGCCUAGGCUUUUCUUUGUGGGAAAGUUUUGAUUACUGCUUUAAUGUCUUCACAUGUUACAGUUUUAUUCAGAUGUUCUGUUUCUUUUUGAUUCAGUUUUGGUAGUUUGUGUGCUUCAAGGAAUUCACCUAGGUUAUUCAAGUUGUUGGCAUUUUGAUAAUACUCCCUUAUAAUUUUUUUCUUUCUGUUGGUAGUAAUAUCAGCUCUUUCAUUCUUAAUUCUAGUAAUUUGGAUUUUCCAUCUCUUUUUUUUUUCUUGGUCUAGAUAAAGAUUUGUCAAUUUUGUUGAUAUUUUCAAAGAACCAACAUUUGGUUUUGUUUAUUGUUUUUCUUCUCUUUUUCAUUUAUUUUUUCUGUGGUCUCUAUAAUUUACUUCCUUCUGCUUGCUUUGGGUUUAGUCUUUUUCUAAUUUUUUUAAGUUGGAAGCCUGUUACGUAUUUGAGAUCUUUCUUUUUGAUAUAGAUGUUUACAGCUUUUCAUUUCUCUUUUUUUUUUAAUUUUUUUUUUAACGUUUAUUUAUUCUUGAGACAGAGACAGACAGAGCAUGAACAGGGGAGGGGCAGAGAGAGAGGGAGACACAGAAUCGGAGGCAGGCUCCAGGCCCUGAGCCAUCAGCCCAGAGCCUGACGCGGGGCUCGAACUCACAGACCGCGAGAUCGUGACCCGGGCUGAAGUCGGACGCUCAACCGACUGAGCCACCCAGGCGUCUCUUUUUUUUUAAUAUUUAUUUUUGAGGGACAGAGAGACAGACAGGGUGCAAGCAGGGGAGGGGCAGAGAGAGAGGGAGACACAGAAUCCAAAGCAGGCUCCAUGCUCUGAGCUGUCAGCACAGAGUCUGAUGCAGAGAUCAUGACCUGAGCCGAAGUCGGAUGCUCAACCGACUGAGCCACCCAGGCACCCCUAUUUCUUUCAUUUCUCUUUAAGCACUAUUUUAACUGCAUCCUGUACAUUUUUGUAUGUUGUCUAUUUUCAUUCAUCUUAAGGUGUUUGCUAAUUUACCUUAUAAUUUCUUCCAUGACACACUGGUUAUUUGAGAGUGUUUAUUUUCCACAUAUUUCCAAAUUUCCCAAAUUUCCUUCUGUUCAUUGAUUUCUAAUUCUUUUUUUAAAGGGGGGAUUUUUCACAGGUCUUGAAAUGAAUUCCCAGGCUGUGUAGUAAUUGAAUUCAGUAAAGUUAGAAUAUUACUUGUUAUUAGAAUUUUCAAAUCAUAUUCCAACUUACUUUCCAGAUGUUUAGUUCAAGUGUGCCGUGCAUAAUUCUUCAUGGUGAAUGAAGUCUAGUUUGAAAUAAACUUUAUGGAGUGAAAGUGCGCAGAAAUUCUCAAUGGCCAGGAUUAUUCAGUGACAUUUUCUGUGAUAUUCUAUACUAACCAUCUGCGUUUUGUAUAUUUGAAGUUUCCUUGACAAAAUCAUCAUGAGCCAGCUGCUUUUACUUUUAUUUUUAAUUAUUUUUAAUUUUAGGCUUCCAUAUGAAUAGCCCCUAGUGAGUGGUAUGAGAAACUGUUAAAAAUAGUUAUUGUGUAUUGCAAUAGGUAUGUGGUCAUACAGCCAAGAUUUCUUUUCCAGAGAUGGUCCCAUGGAUUUAUAAUGUUUACUGAGCAUUUUUAGUGUUCAAAUACCAUUUGGAAAAUAAAAUUGGGCAAUUCCCCUUCCCCAAAGUAAAGUACGCCCAAGGAGAAAAAAGGAGAUUCUCUGGUACAGAAGUCAAAUUUAAAUUGCCUUUAUGGAUUCAGUGGUAAUCAAAGACAGGCUGCUGGAAAAUGAACUGACCACAGCGUGUGUUUAUGAAAUGUUUCCCCCUUCCUUCUGAAUAAACUACAUGAACAUAAUUAAUGUUCUUAACUACAGAUCCCAUUUAAGUUGGAGCUGGUGAUGAGUUUGCUGGAAGAUAAUUAUUAUUCAAAUCACAAAAUGAUAAAACUUAUGGGAUCUCAGAAAUCACCUGGUCAAAUCCCUUCACCAUCCAAAGUUUGUUUGGGUCACCAUUGAAUCUACAGCAUGAAGAAGAGUUCCUGGCUCACUAGUAGUUGGAUGAAGGAAUCUUCCUGAAAUGCUCCUGCUCAAGACUCUCCCUUUUCUCUUUCAUGCCAGGUCCAGACUCCUUUAUCUGCCUGUGAAGUCCCUCUGUGAUAUGUCUCAGCCAAAUCUGUAACUAGAUUUCCUGUUACUGUUCAUCACAUACCAACUACUUCCCUAUAUAUCUCCACGUACUCUCAACAAUCC
rnacentral:lncRNA from 1 species